UACGUAGGGUGCAAGCGUUGUCCGGAAUUAUUGGGCGUAAAGAGCUCGUAGGCGGUUUGUCGCGUCGGAUGUGAAAAUCCAGGGCUCAACCCUGGACCUGCAUUCGAUACGGGCAGACUAGAGUUCGGUAGGGGAGACUGGAAUUCCUGGUGUAGCGGUGAAAUGCGCAGAUAUCAGGAGGAACACCGGUGGCGAAGGCGGGUCUCUGGGCCGAUAUUGACGCUGAGGAGCGAAAGCGUGGGGAGCGAACAGG
rnacentral:rRNA from 1 species